rnacentral:misc_RNA from 1 species
AAGUCGUAACAAGGUUUCCGUAGGUGAACCUGCGGAAGGAUCAUUAAAAAAGCAUCACACGGGGUGACAAGCUCCUGGGAUGAGCGGUCCAGUGCGCGCCUGAUGUCGGAGCACAGUCUGACACAAGGGGGCAUGCGGAUCGCAAAAUCCCAGUCGAGCGAGUAGCCCAUUGUGGAAAACAUGCAAUUCUUCUGUGUACCUAAUACUUGUUGCUUCCCUGGCAUUGCCAGGGAAGGUAUAAUCAAACUCUGUUUUCUUUGUAGUCGGUCUGAAGUUGUUUAUUCAUAAACGUUAAAACUUUCAACAACGGAUCUCUUGGUUCUC